UACGAAGGGGGCUAGCGUUGUUCGGAAUUACUGGGCGUAAAGCGUGCGCAGGCGGCUUCUCAAGUCAAGGGUGAAAGCCCAGAGCUCAACUCUGGAAUUGCCUUUGAGACUGAGUGGCUUGAGUACGAGAGAGGUGAGUGGAAUUCCCAGUGUAGAGGUGAAAUUCGUAGAUAUCAGGAGGAACACCUGUGGCGAAAGCAGCGCACUGGACCACACUGACGCUGAGGCGCGAAAGUAGGGGAGCAAACAGG
rnacentral:rRNA from 1 species